GGGAUAGUAGCCAACGUGGUCACGGCGCGAGACUGAAAAUCUCGAGACUCUGGUUCGAUUCCAGGCUAUCCCA
rnacentral:tRNA from 1 species